AAAUUGAAGAGUUUGAUCAUGGCUCAGAUUGAACGCUGGCGGCAGGCCUAACACAUGCAAGUCGAACGGUAACAGGAAGAAGCUUGCUUCUUUGCUGACGAGUGGCGGACGGGUGAGUAAUGUCUGGGAAA
rnacentral:rRNA from 1 species